rnacentral:rRNA from 1 species
AUGCUUUCCUUGAGGUGUUGGGCGCCCGCAUUCGGUAUAGCGUUCGAGAGAGCCGUCGUUCUGCGCCCUCGAAAGUUCAACUCCUUAGUGGUUUGCGGUGCCAGGGGUCCGAGGCCGAGAUAUCCUCGCGUGUGGAAAACCGAUAAGAGAAUCGGAACCGUUUCCAAGUCGCAGAAGCUUGUCAAAUGUAUUAAGGGUUUGUCUAAUGUAAAGGAGGAGGUUUAUGGUGCUCUUGAUUCAUUCGUUGCAUGGGAACUGGAGUUUCCCUUGAUAGCAGUAAAGAAAGCACUGAAGACGCUUGAGGAUGAGAAGGAAUGGAAAAGAAUAAUUCAGGUUAUCAAGUGGAUGUUCAAUAAAGGUCAAGGGAAGACCAUGGGAAGCUAUCAAACUUUAUUAAACGCUUUAGUCGAGGAUGGACGAAUUGAGGAAGCAGAAGAGCUAUUUCAAAAGAUAUUCUCGAGAUAUAUGGAGGGAUUGCCACGUGUUUUUUUCAUGAAAAUAAUCUCCUUAUAUUACAGAUUGGGGUCAUAUGAGAAGAUGUUUGAGGUUUUUGCUGAUAUGGAAGAGCUGGGUGUUCGACCUGAUACCUCGAUUGUCAGGAUGCUCGGUGAUGUAUUUAUGAAGCUAGAGAUGCUGGACAAAUACGAAAAGUUAAAUAGGAAAUAUCCACCGCCAAAAUUUGAAUAUCGAUACAUCAAAGGAAGCAUGAAUCUUGACAAUGAAUUGAAAGAAGCGCCAAGAACAGUCCUGGACAUGAAUGUAUUAGGCAAUGCGGCUUCUGGAGACCAUAAAUUUGUAUAG